UGCUUAAAACAUUUCAGUCAUUUUAUAGGGUUUUCUAGAGAGCUCGAGCAAAGGCGAUUUUGUGGCGAUUCUGUUGUGUGUGCUUGUUUGGCUGAAAUCCACCAAGCCGACCACUGUUCUUUGCUCUUUUGUUGUCUCUGUCGAAGAAUAAGGCACGAAUCAGAGAAUUUGAAGUGAUUAUGGCUCAAAAAUGGAUCGUCGUAUAAGAUGAUUUUUGCCGGACAUUCUUUGGGGUCUGGUGUCGCCGCCUUUUUGACGGUGAUCGUGGUGAACCACGGUGACCUACUCGGUGAGGUUCCAAGGAGUCAUGUGCGGUGUUAUGCGAUUGCACGUCGCUCAAUUUAGCUGUGAAGUAUGCCAAUGUUAUAGACUCUGUGAUCUUGCGGUAUCACAGAGACUGUUUUUUCCCCCUUAAAGUGAUGGUGAAGACGAUGAGAUUGUUGAGCAUGUGCCUCCGGCUCAACUUUGAGAAAUGGAUCAGUUGCGUAAUACUAUUUCUGAUCGAAUAUAGAAUUCUCUUGGGCUUUCUUGAUCUUCCUGAAAGUGAUGAUAUGAAGUGUAUUGAUACUCUCUUGAAGGUGAUGUGUGGUGUUAUGAAGAUGAUGUGUCCUACUAUUGAAGCUUGUUCCAUAGAAGUGAAAUUUGUGUUUUUUGAAGUAUGUCUCUUGUAAGAUCUUUUUAGUUUUUCUGAUACCUUCCUAAACAGUUAAGGAAAACAUAAGGAAACAUCUUUUUAUUUGUUAAACAUCUUUUUCUUCAUUUUUGAAUCCUAUUGUUGAAAUUUGUAAACAAUGAAGUGAAUUGUGUUUGAACUUUGAAUUA